ACCUUUGCCCACGCAUUAGGUUCUCCGCUGCGAGAUUAAUAGGGAACCGAGCGAAAUUCUCGGACAGUCCCGCUGCUGUGAGCGGCAUUAUGCCAACAGAUAACAUACAGUCACUGAGCGCUUUUCACGUUUGGGAAGACUUCUGUUGGUGCCGUAAGUCAGAAUACCUGCCUUUUGCCUUGACACAAUU
rnacentral:ncRNA from 20 species